rnacentral:rRNA from 1 species
GACGAACGCUGGCGGCGUGCUUAACACAUGCAAGUCGAGCGGGAAACUUCGGUUUCCAGCGGCGGACGGGUGAGUAACACGUGGGCAACCUGCCUCACAAUGAGGGAUAGCCUUCCGAAAGGAAGAUUAAUACCUCAUAACACAAGAGAAACGCAUGUUUCUUUUGCCAAAGAAUUUCGUUGUGAGAUGGGCCCGCGGCGCAUUAGCUUGUUGGUGAGGUAACGGCUCACCAAGGCUUCGAUGCGUAGCCGACCUGAGAGGGUGAUCGGCCACGUUGGAACUGGGACCCGGUCCAGACUCCUACGGGAGGCAGCAGUGGGGAAUAUUGCACAAUGGAGGAAACUCUGAUGCAGCAACGCCGCGUGAGUGAUGAAGGUCUUCGGAUUGUAAAGCUCUGUCUUCUGGGACGAUGAUGACGGUACCAGAGGAGGAAGCCACGGCUAACUACGUGCCAGCCGCCGCCGUAA